UACGAAGGGGGCUAGCGUUGUUCGGAAUUACUGGGCGUAAAGCGCACGUAGGCGGAUGUGUCAGUCAGGGGUGAAAUCCCGAGGCUCAACCUCGGAACUGCCUCCGAUACAGCACGUCUCGAGUCCGGAAGAGGUGAGUGGAAUUCCUAGUGUAGAGGUGAAAUUCGUAGAUAUUAGGAAGAACACCAGUGGCGAAGGCGGCUCACUGGUCCGGUACUGACGCUGAGGUGCGAAAGCGUGGGGAGCAAAC
rnacentral:rRNA from 1 species